UUAUAGUCAUUGGACUUCGCGCUCAGACGGUAUAAUCUUCCUUUCAGGUAAAGGGUUUCCACGGGUGCCGCCGGCAGGCUGACCGCCUCGCCCCACGGAGGGGAGGGACGCGCUGCCGAAGCAACUGGGGUUUUUCACAUUGGGUUACAGGCUGCCGGCCUCCCGCGAGCGGGUGACCUUUUGCCAUCAGAGCCCGUGAGGGCCUGUUUCUUUUUUAAUGAUCCUUCCGCAGGUUCACCUACGGAAA
rnacentral:misc_RNA from 1 species